CCUACGGGUGGCAGCAGUGAGGAAUAUUGGUCAAUGGGCGCGAGCCUGAACCAGCCAAGUCGCGUGAGGGAAGACGGUCCUAUGGAUUGUAAACCUCUUUUGUCGGGGAGCAAAAGACGCCACGCGUGGCGUUCCGAGAGUACCCGAAGAAAAAGCAUCGGCUAACUCCGUGCCAGCAGCCGCGGUAAUACGGAGGAUUCGAGCGUUAUCGGGAUUUUUUGGGUUUAAAGGGUGCGCAGGCGGAAGAUCAAGUCAGCGGUAAAAUUGAGAGGCUCAACCUCUUCGAGACGUUGAAACUGGUUGUCUUGAGUGAGCGAGAGGUAUGCGGAAUGCGUGGUGUAGCGGUGAAAUGCAUAGAUAUCACGCAGAACUCCGAUUGCGAAGGCAGCAUACCGGCGCUCAACUGACGCUCAUGCACGAAAGUGUGGGUAUCGAACAGGAUUAGAUACCCGGGUAGUC
rnacentral:rRNA from 1 species